UUCAGACGUGUGCUCUUCCGAGCAGCCGGGAAACCAGGGAGGCUGGGUGACUGUACGGAGGAAGCAUAGUCCUAAGCACAAGCCCACGGUUCACCCCCAACCUCUUCAUGUUUCCAACAAGUUCCCCCCACUCAGAGAAACCAUCUCUGGUGAUUGGCAGCUCUGUAGUCAGAAACGUGAAGUUAGCGACACCAGCGACCACAGUCAAAUGCGUUCCUGGGCCCUGAGCGGGCGACGUUGAAUCUUAUCUAAAACUGCUGGCUCAGGAUAAGCGUAAACACGGUAAAAUAGUAAUACAUGUCGGCGGUGAUGACACCCGCCAACCCAGAGUUGAGACCAGGAGGCAGAGUUGCAGUCCUACACGCUUCUCUGCGCUUCCAUUGGAACAGUUAUCCACCCAAUAUCCCAUAGAGACUGCCUGUCCCCGACCACCUAAAUUAAUUAAAUCACAUACAAAAAGAGGAGUUAUACAUAGAAAUCUAAUAAAGAUUAACACAUCUGACCAUCACUUAAUAACUUUUGAAUUUGUAUUAUUUGACUACAUACCACCAAGGAAAAACUCCUACACUGGAUACCUGUCUGAUAGUGCUGUAGCUAAAUUUAAGGAAUCAAUUCUGUUGUCACUGACUUCAGUAUGGUGUCCCAGUACUGCUGAACAUUACAACACUAAAGAAAAGUCUUAUGCCAAUUGUAGGCCACGGUAUAUGGUAUAAUACUGAGGUUCACAUGUUAAAUGCAAUGUUGCAGUAUGGUUACCUGUAAAAUCCAGGAUAGAGUUUAAAAUUCUUCUCCUCACAUAUAAAGUCCUGAACAGCCAGGCACCAUCAUAUCUUAAGGAGUCGAUACUUCCCUAUUGUCCCACCAGGGCUUUACGUUCCCAAGAUUAGAUAUAGAUUUUUUAUUAUUAUUAUUUUUUAGAUAAAGUAUUUAUUCACUUUGAGACGUGUGACUGUCAGGUGUU